CAUGCCCUGGGUAACCUGAUGUGCUAGGCUGUUAGAACAAGGAGAACUGAGCUCAGAAGUAUCCGUACAUUCUAAAACAUUGUUGACUCUCCCUUUGGCAGAGAGCACUGACCAGUUGGCCCACAAUGCGUGUGUGUGGCAAGGGGUGAAGGGUUAAGAGGAGAAAGUUCUAUUCCCGGCAAGAACAAGAUGUUUCCUCUACCAGAAUUGGCGGGAGACAGCCAGCGCCCAGCCAGAGGGACCAGUCAAGGAAGAAUCCAGCCCCUCCCUGCACCAGGGUCGGUAUACAGGCGGGAUGCGCAGUUUGCGUAGUGCUGGCGGAGCAGAUGCUUAUCAUAAGCCAGAGGACAACCCCCUUCUACGUUCAUCUGGAAUCACGGAGGUCAGCUGCCUCACACCUCAGGCCAAGAGAGGGAGUGGUGACACUGUGGCACUGAGAGAAUGAGGACUGACUCUGAAGGGCUGGCUAAUCCCUCCUGGGAGCAGGGAAUGAGGACAGUGCUGAAAGCAAUUUUGAAUGCUUUUGUUUGUGACCACCAAUUCUUUGUCAUUUUCCCCCUACAAAGUAUGUUACAAAGUAACCUGUGAGAUGACUGCAGUGAAAUUACAGGUUACAGCGAAAACAUGGUCAGGGCAAGGAGCUUCCCAGUGGGAAUACUUUCUUUUUCAUUUUAUAAAAAAAUAAAAGCUUUGUACUAAGAAAUUAAACUAUUUUUAUGUUUUGUACCUCACUGGUAUAUUAAAUACCGUUUAUUAAGAUGCUUUUAAUUCAGGAAAUGUUGAAAUGAAACAUUGGCCCCCUAGCAAAUCGAAUUUCGAUGAUUAAUUCUGACGUAGUGGACAGGAAUCACG
rnacentral:lncRNA from 1 species